rnacentral:rRNA from 1 species
GCGUGCUAUACAUGCAAGUCGAACGAACUUCCGUUAAUUGAUUAUGACGUGCUUGCACUGAAUGAGAUUUUAACACGAAGUGAGUGGCGGACGGGUGAGUAACACGUGGGUAACCUGCCCAGAAGCAGGGGAUAACACCUGGAAACAGAUGCUAAUACCGUAUAACAGAGAAAACCGCCUGGUUUUCUUUUAAAAGAUGGCUCUGCUAUCACUUCUGGAUGGACCCGCGGCGCAUUAGCUAGUUGGUGAGGUAACGGCUCACCAAGGCGAUGAUGCGUAGCCGACCUGAGAGGGUAAUCGGCCACAUUGGGACUGAGACACGGCCCAGACUCCUACGGGAGGCAGCAGUAGGGAAUCUUCCACAAUGGACGCAAGUCUGAUGGAGCAACGCCGCGUGAGUGAAGAAGGGUUUCGGCUCGUAAAGCUCUGUUGUUAAAGAAGAACGUGGGUGAGAGUAACUGUUCACCCAGUGACGGUAUUUAACCAGAAAGCCACGGCUAACUACGUGCCAGCAGCCGCGGUAAUACGUAGGUGGCAAGCGUUAUCCGGAUUUAUUGGGCGUAAAGCGAGCGCAGGCGGUCUUUUAAGUC